UAACUUUGAAGACAGAAGAUAGAAAACAGCUGGCAUGAGGAAAUAUGGAAUCAAGGGGAAGCAGAAGAGUCAACAGAAGUGGAACCACUCUGUUUCUUUAACAACAUAUGGUUGACCCCCCAGUGAUUCCUUCCAGGGAUUCUAGGGCAAAUCAACUGUGCUUGCGCCAUUUCCGAAAAAUGGAAACUUUUCCUUAUAUUUUGAUUUAACUCAUAGAAAUGGUAAGUUAUAGCAGAAAGAGUAUAGAUUUUGGGAUGAGACAGCCUUAAAUUCAAAACCUGGAUCUACCAAUGACUACUCAUUGACUCUUUAAAUCUACUUCUUCAGUUACUGGCACCUCUAUCUCCUUAGUUCCACUCUCUUCUCUAAGUUUAUUAAAACUCUCACAGUUUUCCUUCACUUGUAGUUUAGCCAGAACCUCAUGGUAGUUUACUUCAGCCACUCUUAUUAAUACUCUUAGCAUCUUGACCUUUUUCUGUAUUCAGCCUGCAAACUCUGGCCCAUUCAAACAUUCACUUCUCAUUCCUGUGAUGGUCAUCUGGAAGGAAGGACCCGAGUUUGUCAUUCUCAUGAAGCUUGCUAUUUCUCUGAUCUGCUCCCCAACUUCAGUGUGGUUUCCCAGAUCAUGUGAAAAUUCAUCUAAAUCUCUGAUCAGUUCCUGUUCCUGUUACCCACUGUGGGUUGCUAUUCUAAAUGUUCACCACUCUUCUGAAAUUCCUGACACUACCACUUUACUCUCAGCAGAUGAUCUUGCCUCCAAUUGUGUGGAUAGUAUUGAGGUUCUCAGAGAGAAACUCAUUGGCUUACUUGUGAGAACCUGAAAAAUUAUCUCUAUCUGGACACAACUCACCAUUUCUAUCCUUCCUCAGACAAAGAGAUUGGUAAAUAUCAUCCAGGGCUUUUCUGCCUUAAAGGCAGUCUGCCAGCUGUUUGAAGAGAUCGAAUCUCAUUUAGAGGAAGGAAAGCACAGAAGACGGAGGAUAACUGCAUGGUUUUGAGGCUGGGAAAUUGAAGAUCAAGGUGCCAGCAGGUUCAGUGUCAAAAGGGGUCAAAGGGCAAAAGGGGAUGAAUACUGUGUCUUCACAUGGCAGAAGAGAAGAUGAGAGGGAAUCCACUCCCUGAAGCCCUUUUGUAAGUGCCCUAGUACUUGGCACUUGUAAUCUAUGGCUCUGCCCUCAUCACUUAAUUACUUCCUCAAAGGCUCUACCUCUUAAUACACAAGAAUAGGGAUUAAGUUUCAAAAAUCCUCAUUUCAAAAAUAUGAAAUUUGGGGGAUAUUGAGCUCACAGUAGAGGAUUUCUUUUCCCUCUCCUCUCCCCUUCCCUCCCCUCCAUUCCUCGUUUGAGGCAAAGUUUUGCUCUUGUUACCCAGGUUGGAGUGCAAUGGUGCGAUCUCGGCUCACUGCAACCUCUGCCUCCUGGGUUCAAGUGAUUCUCCUGCCUCAACCUCCUGAGUAGCUGGGAUUAUAGGCAGGCACCACCACUUUCAGCUAAUUUUGUAGUUUUAGUGGAGAUGGGCUUUCUCCAUGUUGGUCAGGCUGGUUUCGAAUUUCCAGCCUCAGGUGAUCUGCCCUCCUUGGCCUCCCAAUG